UACGAAGGGGGCUAGCGUUGCUCGGAAUUACUGGGCGUAAAGCGCACGUAGGCGGCUUUCUAAGUCGGGGGUGAAAUCCUGGAGCUCAACUCCAGAACUGCCUCCGAUACUGAGAGUCUUCGAGUCCGGGAGAGGUGAGUGGAACUGCGAGUGUAGAGGUGAAAUUCGUAGAUAUUCGCAAGAACACCAGUGGCGAAGGCGACUACCUGGCCUGUUCUUGACGCUGAGGCGCGAAAGCUAGGGGAGCAAACGGG
rnacentral:rRNA from 1 species